rnacentral:rRNA from 1 species
GCACGGACUUCGGUCUGGUGGCGAGUGGCGAACGGGUGAGUAAUAUAUCGGAACAUACCCAGUAGUGGGGGAUAACUAUCCGAAAGGAUAGCUAAUACCGCAUACGAUCUGUGGAUGAAAGCAGGGGAUCUUCGGACCUUGUGCUAUUGGAAUGGCCGAUAUCUGAUUAGCUAGUUGGUAGGGUAAAAGCCUACCAAGGCGACGAUCAGUAGCUGGUCUGAGAGGACGACCAGCCACACUGGAACUGAGACACGGUCCAGACUCCUACGGGAGGCAGCAGUGGGGAAUUUUGGACAAUGGGGGCAACCCUGAUCCAGCAAUGCCGCGUGAGUGAAGAAGGCCCUCGGGUUGUAAAGCUCUUUUGUCAGGGAAGAAACGGAGUUCUCUAAUAUAGGACUCUAAUGACGGUACCUGAAGAAUAAGCACCGACUAACUACGUGCCAGCAGCCGCGGUAAUACGUAGGGUGCAAGCGUUAAUCGGAAUUACUGGGCGUAAAGCGUGCGCAGGCGGUUUUGUAAGUCUGAUGUGAAAUCCCCGGGCUCAACCUGGGAACUGCAUUGGAGACUGCAAGGCUAGAGUGUGUCAGAGGGGGGUAGAAUUCCACGUGUAGCAGUGAAAUGCGUAGAGAUGUGGAGGAAUACCGAUGGCGAAGGCAGCCCCCUGGGAUAACACUGA